UACGUAGGCAGCAAGCGUUGUUCGGAAUUACUGGGCGUAAAGAGUGUGUAGGCGGUGCUCUAAGUUUGGUGUGAAAUCUCCCGGCUUAACUGGGAGGGUGCGCCGAAAACUGGAAUGCUUGAACAUGGGAGAGGAAAGCGGAAUUCCUGGUGUAGCGGUGAAAUGCGUAGAUAUCAGGAGGAACACCUGCGGUGUAGACGGCUUUCUGGACCAUUGUUGACGCUGAGACACGAAAGCGUGGGUAGCGAACAGG
rnacentral:rRNA from 1 species